rnacentral:rRNA from 1 species
UACGUAGGGGGCUAGCGUUGUCCGGAUUUAUUGGGCGUAAAGAGCGUGUAGGCGGCCAGGUAGGUCUGCUGUGAAAACUCGAGGCUCAACCUCGAGACGUCGGCGGAAACCAUCUGGCUAGAGUCCGGAAGAGGAGAGUGGAAUUCCUGGUGUAGCGGUGAAAUGCGCAGAUAUCAGGAAGAACACCCGUGGCGAAGGCGGCUCUCUGGGACGGUACUGACGCUGAGGCACGAAAGCCAGGGGAGCGAACGGG